rnacentral:lncRNA from 1 species
GACGGAAAGGCAUUGGAGGAUGGCGAGCGGAGAAGAAACACAAGCUGCCCUAGGUCCUAACAAGAUUGCUCUUCCUGUUCUGCGGAGAGGAUCUGUGCUGGAGGGGAUGUGAGUGAAAGACCAGAUGGGAGGUGAGCACAGCUUCAGGAGAGAGACUGUGUGAACUUCCACAGGGCGGCUGAGGUGAAGGAGCUCCAUGUGCAGAUUCUGGAUAUAUUUUUAAGCACUGUGAAAGAUCCUACAGACUCAUGCCUGGAGAGAAUACAAGGUCUUCCAGAAUGGUAUACCAGCCCUCUCAACAUCUCACUACACACCAGAAUGAGAUGGAACCAAUUCCAGCCAGUCAAGGUUGAAGAUCUAGAAGAAGAAAGAGAUACUGGAUGGCAUGAAAUCCUGAAGAAGAAUGCAACAGACACAGAUAGAGAAAUGUGUCUUGCUGCAAAGCAGAGAUGUGCACAAGGAAGAUAAGAUGGGUGCUAGAUGCAGAGGAAGGCAGGCAAGAAGCAGCAGCUGGAGGCAGUUCACACUUAUUGGCCUAAUUUUUCUCUACAUAAAAUAGGACAUGAAAUCAGCUGGUGGGACUGUGAAAAGUGGCAAGGGCAAGUUGGAGUCUUGAGGAAAUGGACAUGUUUGCGAUAGCUGUGCUGGAAAUAAGAGUAAUAUUGGACUAAAGACUCAGAGGCUUUCUAAGCAGCAUGAAAAAUCACGUAGGAUGAUACUGAUUCCAACUUCAUGGCAUUGUGGUUUAACAUGAUCAUAGACAAGCAGUCUCUCUUAGGUCAGUUUCUGCUUUGAAACAGCUUGGCAAACUGUUUUUGUAAAGGGCCAGAUAAUAAAUCCUUUGGCUUUGAGGGGCAUAUGGUCUCUGUUGCAAAUACUCAAUUUUGCCAUUUAAAAAUAUCUCCGAGGCAUUAUGUAAGUGAAUGUGACUGUGUACC